CCCGAGACGCGAUGCCUUUCCCAGAGAGUAGAGUUUAUGGCUGGCCGACUCGGCUGACGCACCUCAGCCAAGAGGACGAACUGGGACUGAGAGAGGAGCGGAGUCCUGCCCGGGCUGCGCCGGAAGCACCGGAGGCUAAGCAACACGAGCUGGCCGCCAUUGGUCCCGCCCCCUGUGACGUCCCAUGGCAGAGGCCUCAGGGAUUCUCCCGACUGCUUGGAGAGACUGAAUGGACCAAGAGGCAGACAGCUGUGACCCCAGUUGGCAUUGUCAUGUCUGAAGCUAUGCUUCUUUUCGCUUUUUACAAUGUCUCAAUCGUUUAUUGCCUAGUCUCCCUUCUACAUAAAGUAAGCCCAAAUAACACUCUGUAAUCCCCUCUCCUCGGACAUGGAAACUUGAACUUGCAACCAAACCCAGUUUUCACUGGGUAAGCUGAGCUGGUCUCACGCCAGUUUCUUCAGGAAACUGCUGAAGAAUAAUCAAAAUAAGGAUUAUACCUGAGUUGCUUCCACCUGGACAUUGGUACCCUGUUGAUUGACAUCAAGGGAGAGAAGUAGCAAGAAGGUGGUGUCUGAAGCAGCAAGUUUCGUGUCUGGAAAUGUGGUCCCAAGUACUUGCUCCACUACUUGUCCUUGUGGCUUUUUGGACUCAGCGCUCAAGCUGACACUUCAGACUCUUCAUCUGCAGAAAAUUGUGACAGGUAAGAUCUGUCAGUUUUUACUCCCUCUACCCAUGUAGUACCCAAAGCAUACCCUGACCUAAAAUAAAUACAUUAGAGCUAUUCUAGGUGACUCUGAGGAGGAAAAAAAACUGUAGUUUUGGAAUAAAAAAAAAAAUCAAGACUGAGAGUGAAAGAACUGUAAUGAGUUCCAUGGAUAUAAAGAUGGAUAUAAACUAAAAUGGAUAUAUGAAUGUCCAUCCUUUCCUACCCCCCCCCCCAAGGGAAAGGGGACUUUGCUGACAAUGCCUGCCUACUUCUUCCUGAGUGGAGUACUGAGUGGAGCUCUGGGGAAAUUUCAGGAUCAUACUUCAAAUAUGUCUAGGUAGAAGGGCUGCUUCGAGAGAGUUCAACCACACCAUAUAACAACAUCAAAACUCCCAUCCUGGGAGCCAGGAACCCAAAGACUGAAAACUAGCUACCAGAGUGGAAAAUGCCUACCUACCUCAGGCCGUGAGGACCUGAUGCCACUGGCAUCUUGUUGAGAGCACUGUCAGUAUAACACAAUAGGAGCUUCAAACAGAAAGAAGAUUUAUUCAUUAAUAUUCUGAUUUGGCAACUCUAGUGAACAGAGACAUGGGGGAACUGACUAGCGCUGAGCCACAUGUCAUCUUACAAGAUGGUGAAGGAGUCAAGUUCCCUGAAUCUCAAUUCACUCCCUCACCAGGUUCACCAGUACGCAUCAUGUUGUAUUUUGUCUGUGCUCAAUGGGUUUUGGGGGCCAGGAUGAUGGUAUAUGCCUUUAAUACUAGCUGAGUUUGAGGCAAGUCUGGGUUACAUAGUGAAACCUUGACUCAAAACAAAAAUGAUAAAUAAAAAUGUUUGUAGGAUGAAUAACUCAGGAGAAAAAUAUUCACUAAGGACUUUGGGUAUUAAUUCUCUUUGUAAAGUAAUAUUUAAGGUAUGCUAUAAAUGUACCCAUCAUUUAUUUAUUGAUUGAUUGAUUUAGUGUUUGGGUGUUUGGGUUUUUGGUCUGCAUUGUUGCCUGUGCACUUUGUAUGUACCUCGUGUCCACGGAGGCCAGAACUGGGCACUGGAUUUCUUGAACCUGGAGUUAGAGGAAGUUGUAAGUGGCCAUGUAAAUGCCGGAAAUGGAACCUGGGUCCUCUGCAAGAACAGCUAGCAUUUCCCCUACAAAUUGGUGUUAUUUGUCAGCAAUAUAUCUGAGCUUAAGGCAAGAAGCAUCAAUUCACAUUCUGGACUGGUGCUCUUAGCUAUUAAUAUUUAUAACACUAUUAAUUGUAAUGGUGAAGUUUCUCAUUCCUCAACACAUGGUGAGGAUGCAUUUACUUACUGUAACCCAGUGCCUUCGUGUAUGCAGACACACUGAUGAGUACUAGGCGGCUUCAGAUCCCAGAGACAGUUCUCAUCACAGUCUUGGAAUCUGGGAGAGCCCAGGUACAACUCCACAGAGAGGGAGACUUCUCACUGUGUCCUUAUAUGGCACAUAGCAAAGAGAUAAAGGACUGCACUUCAUUGAUAAUCCUGCCUAUGGGCUUUAUCCUAAAGGAUUUGCCUCUUAAUCCUGUUAUACAGAGGUACACGUUUCUGCAGGGAUUUGGGGACAUGCCUACAUUCAGAUCAAGGGUCUUUUCUCCCAGGUCACCUCUUUCUAUCUCUGGCUUGUCAGCCUUCAGAACAGUCCCUGCCACACAGCAAGAACUAUUAGGUUUGUAUGAAUGAUUCUUAGGCGCUUCCUACCUGGGCUCCAUUAUCACCAAACCUCUAAAGCAUAUUAUGUUAUUUUUUAACCUUGUCGUUUGGUUAGGUAUUAUUUUUUUAAUCUAUCUCUCUAAUUUAGUGGUUUUCAAAAUAGUAAACUCCCCGAGACAGAGUCUGACUUAGCCUCUGACACAGCACUUGCAUGAAGGAGCUGCUCAGGAAAUCAUCGAUUUGAAUAAUAACUGAAAUUUUUAUUGUGCUAGAGCUAAGA